UACAUGGGGUGCAAACGUUGCUCGGAAUUAUUGGGCGUAAAGCGCACGUAGGCGGUUCGUUAAGUCGGAUGUGAAAGCCCUCGGCUCAACUGAGGAAGUGCACCCGAAACUGGCGAGCUUGAGUACGAAAGAGGAUCGCGGAAUUCCCGGUGUAGAGGUGAAAUUCGUAGAUAUUGGGAAGAACACCGGUGCGAAGGCGGCUCUCUGGACCGAUACUGACGCUGAGGCGCGAAAGCGUGGGGAGCAAACAGGAGUUAGAAACCC
rnacentral:rRNA from 1 species